UACGUAGGGGGCAAGCGUUGGUCCGGAAUUAUUGGGCGUUAAAGAGCGUGUAGGCGGUCCGGUAAGUCGGCUGUGAAAGUCCAGGGCUCAACCCUGGGAUGCCGGUCGAUACUGCCGGACUAGAGUUCGGAAGAGGCGAGUGGAAUUCCCGGUGUAGCGGUGAAAUGCGUAGAUAUCUGGAGGAACACCGGUGGCGAAGGCGGCAUCCUGGACCAACACUGACGCUGAGGAGCGAAAGCCAGGGGAGCAAACGGG
rnacentral:rRNA from 1 species